GUUCAGGAUGAAUUGUUUUAAAGAGUCCCUAAAGCUAUACUCACCCUUGUGGAGCCCCCUGUUCCCCUUGGGCAUGGAUGGGAAAUUCAGGGGUAUCAGGUGCAUUUCCUCAUUUUCUGGUUAUUCUAAGACCUCUGGGCCCUAACUGCCCCUGGAGCACUGUUCCAAACCUGGAGGCGGCUAAAUGAAUGAUCAUUUAAUAGAAUAAAAAAAAAAAAAAAAACCCUAUCAGGGUAUAUUAACUCACUUUAUAGUCCUUGUGGUGGGAGAGGGAGAGACUAUGGUGAUUUCCUAAAUGCCAGCUAGUUAAGUCCCUCUACCUCCUCCCUCUGGAGUUAAGAAAGCCUCCCUGCAUCCAUGUAUUUCUCCUCUAUCAUAGUUUGCUACAUUUUUUGCUGCUGCUCAUGGCUGGCGGCACCACACUUGACCUUAGGAACGCCAAGUGGAAGAGCCUGACGAUGAGACUGAGACUAGGUCGCCAAUUUGAACUGAACUUGGUUUUUCCUCCUCCAACCAGAAUGGCAUGACUCAGGUAUAAAAUCUCCUCUCCUCUCAGAGACUCUGGCGGUCUGGAAACUAUAAAAAGAAAAAACAAAAUCAGUAAAUUCAAGAGAGAAAAUGAAAAGAGCAAGAAAACUGUAGGAAGAGAGGGAAAGAAAAAGGAAAAUACUUGUACACAAAAUUGGAAGGGUGUUUGGAACCCCGCCUCAAUUUCUAACAACUGAAGCUAAGGCUUGUUGGUCUCCACUGGGUUCCUCCACUGGUCUCUCCAACCCAAUUCCCUUGUUCAGGAUCUGUGGGGUUCUUUGCCUGGGAAAGGCACAUUCACGUGGUCUGGUCUAUGGCAGGGCUUUACCUACUGGCGGUGGGUAGGGAAAGGUGGUGGUGGCAGCAGAGAGGGAGGUGAGAAAAGCCCUGGGAGGUGUGGCCGCCUCAGGUGGAGGCCCCUCCCCCACCCAUACGGAGGGGCCCAGCAUCCACCACUCCAGGGGAGCCUCUGGGCUCCAGGCCAUCCUGGGUGACUUAAGCCAGAGUGAUCUUAUUACAGCCAGUAGUGACCAGAAUGAUUUCUUAUGCCAAGAGCAGAAAGAAAUGGGUCCAAAUGAGAAAACCGGGACAGCUUGGGUUCUGCGAGAUGGCUGCGAACUGGGGAUUGCACCGAUGAUAAAGCCCAUAGCUGCUUCUUUGGCAUCCACUCCAUGUCAGGCAAAGUCAAGCACACAGCGGUAGGUUUAAGGUAAGUCUCUCCUUUGCUGAUGAUGACCAACCCUGCCCCCAGAAUCCAUCAGGAGUUUGGACGCAUCCACAGCUCCCAGAGAAGAUCCCGCUUGACCUCCCUGUCAGAGGCAAGUGCUUAGUGCAUUUCUGAGACCAGGUGAAAACUGAGGAGGCCACGGAUCAGUGAGACCUGGACUGCUCCUGUCCAACCUGAGCAGCUGCCAUCUGUCAGGACCCCUUCGAGGGCAUGCAGUCAGCCAGCACCGCCAUUCAACGCGGACCCAGAAAAAUCUCUCAAACUCACAGACUUGGAGAGAGAGGAAGGUAGCCAGGCAACAGAAUUGCGGAAAACAUCCUCUAGGUCACAUGAACUUUACUGUAGAUCAGGAAGUUAUCUAACAGCUGCCAAAACUCUUUCUGACUCCAAAUGUUGACUGUUUCUCACACCUCACCAUUGGGUAUGGAGUCUGCUGCCUUGGGGGUUAUUCAGAUUUCCCAUUCCUUCUCAGACUCCAUCUACCCCCACCUGCCUGGUUGCAUUUGGAGAUGAUUUCCUUUUUUCCAUUCAUGAGACCAUGUGGCUUCCAUACUUACCUAGGCUGGCAGUUUCUCCACUCACCCUGCAAAUCUCUUGAGGAGGAAAAGCCCGGUUGAGGAAGGGUCAGAAAAAGGAAGCCAAGCCUGGAAGUGCAAGCAUACAUUAUCAUAUUCUUCUCAGGGUGCCUUUAGUUCAUUCCAGAAAAAAAGUGCAGCACAAUAAGUAAUUUUAAUGGGCGACCUCCCUUUCUUCCACUAAUUCCCAGUCCUGAGCAAGGUUCAUGAGCAAGAACCUAGUCUUCUGUGGCCUUGAAUGCCCCAAAGGGUCUGGUGGCGAUAUUGAGCACACAGUGGGAGCUGAGACAAUAGAUCCUGGUUGACAAAACGGACGCUUCAAAGGAAAAGGGGCAAUUAUUUGAGAGCAAACGUAAGCAAACGCGCGCACACACACACACGUGCGUGUAUUCCGUGCCUUUUCAAUUAAUUCCAGGCUCAUAUAUGAGACUACCUCGAGGAUCUGCUCCCAUUUCUCAGCCCAGCGUCCCAACACAAGCUGAUUCCUCCUGGAUAACAAGCACCUUGGCGUCGAGGGAGGCCGCUCCAGCUGACAUUUGCAGACAUGCGUUACUUCUGCCUCGUAGUGCUCCUUUCUUCACCCUCGACGGUCCAGAGCUGAGCUCACAAGACUGAGGCAGGCCCAGUCCAGAUGACCAGGAGCAGAGACCUUCCUGGGCCAAAGCACAGAAAGGUCAUCUCAGCGAAUUUACUCGGGGUAAAGGGGCCACUUGGGCCGUGUCCGAGUACCUGCGAUCAUGGGUGGGACCAGGAUGCUGAAGCUGUGCUCUUGUGCCCCCCCCCCCGCCCCACCCUUCUCGAAUCUCUGGGUCAGCGGGGUGUAGAUGUUGACAUGCUUGAGCCCUGGGGCCUGACUACGGCUACUUAGAGGGGCCCUACUGUCACCCACCCAAGCGUAGUCAUAGACCACGGUCAUCGCCGUGCUCCGUUGGCGCUAAUCUCCUCGGCUAUUUGUGAUGAUCUGUAAGCGCAGAAACCAGCCGCGUGGUGCGCACCCCGGAAGCGCUUGCCGAGACCCGGAAGCAGCGGGGCCUCGCCCGCCGCUCCUCUGGCUCGAGAGCUCUCCACGACCCGCCCACCUUGGAGGUACCCCAGUUCGGGAAGCAUCGCUCGCGCGAGAGCGGGCCCGGGUUCGCGCCACGAUCGUGCCCCGUGGUAGAGUUUCCGGUCUAUGGGUCUGUCGCUUACGGCGGGCCCAGGCCUCCCCGUUCCCCGAGUGGAUUUAGGUCCCCCGUUAAGGUACCCGUUGUGUCCGGCCGUGGGUCGAGGGAGGCACAGAGAAGGAGGAAUUUACAAUCAGCCCGUGAGUGACUGAUCAGCUCCCCAGAGAUCGGAAUGUAAAUUUACUAGGGAUCUUCGGUUGUGAUUCACAAUUCUGCAAGUAAUAAAAUGCCCACCCCUCCAAUUUCCCGCCCUGUUGGCCUCUCCCCAGCGAGCCACCGUGGGCGCGAACCCGGGGAGUGCGGGAGGCCCCCGGCGCACCCCGCAGCUCGCGGAGGAGCCGGGCUCGCGGGCGCCGGGCGGGCCCCGUGACCCGCCGUCGUAAGAAUGCUUCAGAUCCAACCUGGGCUCGUUUCCGUGACGCAGGAAACAUCUGGGGAGUUUGCGCCGGGCGUUUGGGAAAGUACUUACUUCCGAACUUGGCGCGAAGGUGUUCUAGGAUACAGACAAACGCGGGCCUGAACGGGGGAUGGGGCCCGGGACGGGUUGGCAACCCGGGCGGCAGUCGGGGUGCACACGGGGGAGCUAACUGGUGGCGAGCACUUGGGUGAAGGACGAAUUAAACACUUAGAGCCGGGUCCGCUCGUUUGGGCCUCAUUGUUUUAAUGUCUGUAGUACUUAGGCACAGUUUGAGAAAGAAUAAUGUCUUUACUUUCAGAAAAAACAUCAAAGACCAGGGCCUGCUCAAUAUGGAGCACAUAUGGUAGUCUCCGAAGGCCUUGCCUGCCAAAACAUGUUUCUCAGUAUUUUUCGCCUUUCCUUUUUCGAUUCCACCCCCCCCCCCCACAUCCUUUUUUUUUUUUUUUCUCCCCAAAUGGGAGGGAGCCACGGGCUCGGGUUACUUGGGACGUCUAGCGUUCACAGGAGCAGUUGGCCGCUGCCCGAGGCGAUCAAUGAGGCCUUUCAGGAACUGAAUGUAGCCCAGGACGGGAACCUUGAAGAUGGGCCGGCUGAAGAAGCCAGGCUGGGGAGGCCGUGACUUGCCCAGGACCCAGAGCCAGCUGUAGCAGAGUGAUGCAUUGUCAGAUUCAGAGGCUAUAGGUCACUUUUGGCAUUAUACCUGAAAAGCACGUUUUCCUGUUACUGCUUCCUUAAUUGGUCAGGUUACACUGGUUGAAUCCCCAGGCCUUAGUACAUGGGGCACUUAAAUAUUUACCGAAUGAAUAUUGAAUGAACUAAGUGAAGACAGUAGCCUGCAAACCACUCUCAGACCCUAGCCUAGACAAGACUUAGGUGCAAAGUUUCUCUGCAUUAACUGCUACUAUUAUUGUGUAGACCACUAUCCCUGGUUUUAAAAUUAUUUAGCAGAGAGAGGCAGGGGGCAGUGGCUAAAAGUUGGGGCAGUUUGCUUCGGGAACUUCUCCAGAUGACAUCUCAGAAUGUCAGCGUUCAUUAAAAUGAUCUAACUCAACUUCUGAAUUUCUCUGAAGAUGAACGGAGACCCAGAAAGGUAAAGUUAUUUGCUCAGGGCACACAGCUGGGAUGGAACAGGGGAAGUGCCCUCUUUCCCAUGCCUAGUGCCCACGGGGCUCACUACCCCCACAUUACCCUCAGUGGAAGGACAAGCUGGAUAAUUUCCUCUUUUAGCCUCUCCCAUUAAAUGGAUCCCUAUCAUCACCUCUGAAAAAUGAUAUUCUCCUUCAGCGAAUUUACAUGUAGCGUUAAUAUUAAAAGGAGGGGUAAAUUCUUAGAGCCCCCAUUUAAAAGAAGAAGCAUGCUGUCGCCAGAACUUGCAGCUUUUUCUAAUACAGUAUUAAUGAUGGUGGGGGAAGGAAACACACUACACAUGGACCUGAUUACACAUGAAUCUUAUCACAUCAUCCGGUGUUCUGAUGACUUACAUGACUCAUACAGAGACCAGUAGGCAAAUUACCUGACAUGUAGUUCGAAAAUCUGUACUUUGGACCUGGCUUUGUCAUCAACCUGCUGCAUAUCUUGACCGAUUUCGCUGGAUCUAUUUCUCUCCCUCAUGUAUAUACAACGUACACACACACACACACACACACACACACACAUGCAUAUAUAUGUGUAUAUGUACACACAUGUGUGUAUUAUGUGUAGACAAUAUAUAACAAUAUACACACAUCUAUUGAUUUUUAAUCUAGGUGGUCUGUUCAUAAAUCCAAUUUCUGUUCUUACAUUCUCUGAUGCUAUCAUGUGUCAACAUACAGUGAACCCCUUACCCGUACCAGAUGGAAAAGCAACAGAGGAUAGAACGCUGUUUAUUCUUGUGUCAGGACUGAGUGAAUGCUAACCUUGCAGAAUGCUUUAGAGAUGCGCCUGCCCCUUCCUUCAUCCUGGAGCCCAGAGUGCUGAUUUCCCCAGAUUGCACAGCUGGAGAGCCCGGGGUAGCUUCUUAGUCGGGGCGCCUUACUCCCUGAAGAGAGUUAACUUCAAAUAUGGGGGUCCACCAGUUUCCAUGACCGGUUUAGCUGAGUAUGGAUCAACUCUCUAGGAUACUUCCUUCUACCACUCCAUCAUCCACAUUCCUCACCCCACGUUCUCAUUCAAACCAAGAAUAAUUUAGCCAAAAUAUAAUAGUCUUGGGUUCAGAAGGGCAAAUUUAAAGCAAAACUGGAAGUCAGUAUGAUUUUACUUGGGCAGUGCUCCUUUAAAUAUAUCAGCUCUGUUGCAUGGGACUUUGAGCCUUCAAGGGCCAUUGGGACAAGGUGAUGGUUCCUCUAAUGAGAAGUAUAGCAGCUAGUCUUACUUGUGUUUAGAGUUUGAAUCCAACAUAAGACAAAAACUCGAGUCAACUUUAAUAACGAGGCAAAAUAAUAAUUAGAGUAAAGCCAGUGUUCAGAAUUCUAUGCAACCGAUCCUUUCCUGUCACACAACAAACUCCCAAAUUAUCAAUGUUGGGUGUGCGUGGAGAGGCUAACAAAUUACCCACCAUUAAGUAUAAGACAAAGCUGCUCUCGCUUGCUUUCGGGGAGCACCUUCUCAAUGUGAGACAAUGACUUGGGCAACUGUCUGCCACACUGAAAAUGAAGUCUAGGGCACUUUCUCCCUCCUGCCUGCCUGGCCCUGGUUGACCUGGACUAGGCUGAUGCUGCCUAGUUGGAAUCCAAAGUGUCUCAAGGAACAGUUGUGAUCUGUUUUCCCUGGGUGUGGAGAGGAACAGGCAGUUUUCAAGGCACUGAAACAGCCUUUUCUUCUAUCACCUUCAUGCUGGGGGGACCUUGAUGACUUAGGGGCUAAAAGAACCCCACAGGGCACCAUGUUUGAGGAAUCUCCCUUUGCAAAGGCUUAAGCAGGUGGGAAUAGGCUGUUCAACCCAGACAGCCAAUCCAGGAUGUUGUCCUAGGCAUGCAGAGAAAGGAUGGAACUGAAAAUUCCGCCAACUGGAGGUAGAUCUGUUGCCUCUUGUGUAUAGUAGAAAGUGGUCUCCUGCCAUUCCUCUUAAACAUCAGCCUCAGGAUCCUCUUUCGGACCUUUCCGUAUAUGAAAGCCACUCCCUAAGCACUACUUAAUCGUCAUACUUCCUUCGGUUGUUAUGAGGAUUAAAUGAGAAAAUCUGCUGAAAGUGCUUUUCACAGUGCCAGAUACAUAGCAAGUACUCAGUGCAUGGUCGCAAUUAUUAUUAACCGUUCUAUGAUUUCCUUUGAGGUUAAUGACAUAUUUCUCUACAAUUCAGACCUUUUCUUGGAACACUAGACCUGAAUAGCCAGCUCCCUACUGGAGGUCACUCACGUGCAGGUGGACCUAGAUUCGUAGAACCCACUCUGCUCAAAACAGAUUGGAUUUCUAGUCCCUGUUGUACACUACGAGUGGCUCUACCACCAAUGAGGCCAGCCCUUGGCUAUUACCAGUUCCUCCUAAAUAUCUCUCAGAUCCACCCGCAACAACCUCCUGCCUUAGUAAUGACAAAUAUUAAAUUUUGUCUGCAUCAUUACAUCAUUUCUCCUCUGCCAGGGCAUUCUCCAGUCUGUCCUCACAGCAGCUGGAGUGAUCUUUAUGUAAUGCAAUUUGAUCGUGUCGUUUCCCUACUUUAAAUCUUUUCUUCAUUCCCUAGAGACAUCAGGAAAAUCCAAAUGCCGAGUAUAGGGCGCUCUUUAUCCUCUCCUUUCUUCCCCCCCCCCGCCCCCCGCCCCCACUUUCCCAUCACACAUGCUAAGCCCUAGCUCUCUUGAACUACACCGAGUUUCUUUUGCCUUUGUGUCUUUGCACACAUUGUCUUUCUGGCUGGUACACAGCUCCCUCCUUCAUUAGAUUCCUGCAGCUUGUCCUUCAAGAUUCCGCCUGGCUGUUCUCUUCUUGGAAGCCUUCACCAAGCCUCAGGCUGAUUACAGAGUUUUUAUCCUACAAGAUUGCAAUUUCUCUUCUCCACUAGGUGUGAAUUCCUUGAGGGCAGUGGAAUAAAUCUUGAAUCUUUGUGGCCAUAAGAACACAGUAGGUGUUUGCCACAUAUUUGCCGAAUAUAGGAAGGGCCCAGAAUUAGAAUAAAUGACUGGUUCUAUAGCCUCAUAUCAUCAUCAAAUUUUGGGGAAAGUUAUCUUUCGGAGCCUCAGUUUUCUUGUCCGUAAGGUGAGGACUAACGGUACCCCCUAAUAUUGUCAAGAUUCAAUGAAAAGUGAAUGCAAGUCUUCUGUAAACUGUGUAGCACUGUACCUGAGGCAUUGUUAUAGUAAGUACAGACCCACACUUCCCAUACAUGUACACAUUUUCAUACAUGCACUUAAUAUGUACCUAUUAUAUGCAUCCAUGUGUCUGUGUUUGUGCACCUGCAUGGUUACGUGGAAAAGCAGUUUCCCGACAUACCUUUCUCUAGAUCCCACCCUUUAAAUUCAUGAUGAAUAAUAGGUAGAUCAAUACUUUUGGUAACUAGUCUAGGUUCUAGAUAAAACAUUUUGUAGCAGUAUCCUCGAAAUAGCAGUCAUUCUGUGAUUUCGUUAUAUCCAAACACACAAAUACAAACUUAGUGCAUAUUUAUAGAGCACUGAAUGGGUAAUAACAGCCAAUUACUAUUUUCACUAUGACUAUUAUUGUACCUUCCUACUAAAAUAACACUGAAGCACUUUCCCUCCAAAGGGAAAGGUUUUCUUUUCCUUUUCUUUUUUCUUUCCUUCUUUCUUUCUUUUUCUUUCUUUCUUUCUUUCUUUUUCUUUUUUUCUCUUCCUUCCUUCCUUCCUUCUUCCUUUUUCUUUUUUACAUGGGUCACUUGGAGCAGUUAUUGAAGGCAUUGUUUCCCCCAUUUUGCAUGUGAACAAACCGAGGCACAGAUUUGUUUCACAAAAUGCCUCCUUUCCAAUGUUGCAACCGAGUGGAGAUCAGAACCCGAGGAUGCCCUCUCUCCCGUCUUCUUUCUUUUUCCACGGGCCAGUGUAGGAAGUUUGCACAGAGUGAUUGAUACAAACGAGCCAGAGCUGACCAAUGUGUAAACUGAUCGGUGCUUAUGUGUAACGCUUUGAAUUGCCACAAUUAUUUCCGCACAUUGGGCCUGCCUUAAAUGUGGAAUCCGCUAUUCCAACAUCAGUUCCCGGUUUUUUUUUUUGUUUUUUUUUUUUUAGUUCCCGGCAGGGUAAUUGCCUCUCCUUCCGUAGCGCGCAGUUGCCAGCUGCCCGGCUGCCCUGGGAGCUUUGAAGUGGAAGGCGCACCACGGCUUUUCUAAACGCCGCUCAUGCGCGCGCUGGAAAGGAGGGCGCUGGGUCAUCCUCAACCUCAUCCACCUCCCGAUCCCGUUCUUCUUUAAAAAGCCAGGUGGCGCCAACUCUCAACCCCUGCUAGAGCUGGAGGAUCUUCCUGCCGCGCGCAGGGGGGGAGGAGAGUUGGAAGAAGGGCACCACCUCAGGCCCGCUCUUUCGCUCUGCUCCCUCCGCUCUGCGCCCUCGGCUCUGCGGAAAGGGACACGUGCUUUUCUCUUCUUCCGCACCCCUCGCAGGAUGACGGCAAGCCUAAAGGGAAACGAGGUGUCCUGUGUGCCACAUGGAGCUCGGGGAACGGAAAUAAUUAAAGCCAUGAGGUUUCCUGGCUCUACGCGGUGUUUACGGUGGGUUUUGAUUUGGGGAAGGAGAGCGAGGAGAGGUUAAGGCCGGUUCCAAUCUGCCAGCAUCCUGUAUCGGUCUGUGCAGCAGAUGACGCGUGCGUCCGGGAGGGCUCGCGCCCCUCGGUGUGCGCGUAGCGGGGGGUGCAAGAUCGUGUCUCUGGGUGUCGUGUGGGGUGGCCUACCUACUCCAAAGUAACAGAGUAGGUGCAUGUUAAUUUUUUAAAAAGUCGAAAUCCUCCCAGCUGGGAAAGGAGGGCUCUAAGAUUCCCUCGUAUGACAGCGGAGGGUCUGAAGCUAUUAAGGAAGGCACCCGUUUUAGUUUUCAAACCCCAUUUUUAUUCUUGCAAUGUUUCCAGUCUUUGAACUACUGUCGUUUAACAGGAAGAAGGAAGAGACUCCAUUAUACAAGCAUAUCGACUUGAUCUAAACCAAACAUCGCUGAACAAAAAUGUUGGUUGAAGCCUAGCAAGUAACUACUAAUCUGGUAACGAGAAUUUAGCCAUACGCAAGUGCUGCUGUUGCAAAUCAUCACCAAAUUCGAAGUUAAGAUGAACUCAAUAAAAGGUUUUUUUUUUUUUUUCCUCCUUUUCAAUUCGCAGGAAUACUAAAAGUAGAGUUGGUAUCAUGGCCUAUAGCAAUUUUAAGAUUUUAAUUGAAAUGACAGUAACAUACAUACAAACACACAGAACACUCAACAACAUUAGUAAUGAUGACAGUGUGCUAUUAAUGCUGCUUUUUAUAUGGUGCUGGUGGUGUUUAUUACAGUGUGCGCUUCAGAGCAGCGUUUCUCAUACUGCAGGUUGCCAACCAUUAGUGACUCAUGAAAUCAGCAGUGUGGGAUUUUGAUCAGUAUUUUUUUUUAAUUUUUUUUUAACGUUUAUUUAUUAUUGAGAGACAGAGAGAGCCUGAGCAAUGGAAGAGCCAAGAGACCGGAGACACAGAAUCCGAAGCAGGCUCCAGGCUCUGAGCUGUCAGUGCAGAGCCCAACGCGGGGCUCAAAGCCGCAAACCGAGAGAUCAUGACCUGAGCCAAAGUCAGACGCUUAACCGACUGAGCCACCCAGGCGCCCCUGGUCGGUACUGUUUUUUUUUUUUUUUUUUAAAGGAAAUGGGAAAGACUAAAAAAUAUCAGAAGCAUGUAAGAAUAAAUAUUCGCUCAUAAAUCUUUUUCCCCCCAUUUAUGUGUUGUAUGUAUGUAUUGGGUCACAAUGUAAAAUGUAUUUCUUAUCAUGGACUACAUUAAAAAGGAGCUUGAAAGCUGUGGUUUUAGAAAAAUCCUUGUUAUUCUAGGCAGGUUCCCAUCAGUACUAUGCUUUUUGACUGGGGGAGGCAAAGCUAAAGCCCCUGCUGCCCUCUGAUGCUCUACACUGAGCUAGAGUGGGUAUUUAUCACCCUUGCAGAUUCCACACUGAGCAUGACCCACAAUGCAAAUAAGAUUGGGAAGUGGGUGCUCAGUUUUUUUUUUUUUUUAAUUAAGACAAUUUUUUAAAAUUUUAUUUUAUAAGUAAUCUCUAAGCCCAACCGGUCUGGGACAACCGGCAGAUCAAGAGUCACAUGCUCUACUGACUAAGCCAGCGAGGCACCCCAGAUUGCUAUAGAGCACACCUCUGGACCUCCGCCGUCCCCAGAUAGCAGUUUCUACACAGCUAACUUAGAACAGACCAGAGCUAGCGCUUUGGGACACUGGAUGCCUCUCAUGCCCCAAGCGAACAUACGGGACAGUCGCAUCCUCGCGUUCUGCCAGGGGCGUCUCUAAUUCCCAGGAGGCUGAAUGCUUGCAGUGCCGGACAUGGCCUACCCACCAAGCCGCACAAGCACGCCCGUCGGCUCCCAGCUUGGGCUGUGGUUGCUGAGACACAGCCCUGCCCUCAGUAGGCCCUUUGAAGAGAUGCUUAUUCAAGUCCUUCAGCUUCGGGGUUGAUGUGUCGCUCACCCUCAGAGGCCCCACUUUGGCUGACAUUCAGCCUACCUCUGAGAACGACCCCUAAAAUAGGCUCUGCCACUAACCAGAAGCAAGGCCGUUUCUAUGGUGAAAGAACCAUCGCCUCACGGAAAAUUGCCUUUGCAAUUUUGCAAAAUUGCAUUUUGCAUUGAUAAUAACUACCAAUGAGAGUUUAAGAUUUUUUUCAGAAGCCCAAAUGUGUGGUGCGUGUGAUGUGUGAAGGCGGAGGAAGUGAUGAGGAUUAACACCCUGCUUCUAAUUCUGGCCGACUCAGAGGCCCUGUGUGGAAAAUCAGAAGUGACAGGAAUCCUGGAAGAGGGCCACCUGGCCAUCAGAAAAUUCCAGAGGGAUGUGGUCACUGCCCGACACACACUUGUUCAGAAAUGGAGCUAUGUAGAGGGUUAUGGAAGUGAAUGUCGUAUUGCAAUGAAUGAUGAAAUGCAAUCCCAGCAGCACCCACUGUACGAAGAAUCCAAGCACUGACAGGAGGUAUGAUGGCCGCUAGACCUACCAUGAACUAACUGUGCCACACGUUGAAAUUGAAACGUGGGUCCCUCGGAGUAACUCCUUUGAGUAACUCCUUUGUUUCUUUUUUCCAAAAGGUCAGAAGACACAAGUGAAAAAAUACCAGCAACCGAACAUGGUGGUAUCAAGCCUAAUUAGGAAUAAAAAAAAACACAUUUCUAAAA